GCCAGGUGUGGUGGUGCACAUCUGUAAUCCCAAUGUCUCUGGAGGCUGAGGCAGGAGGAUAGCAAGUUUAAGGUGAGCCUCAGUAACUUAGUGAGAUCCUGUCUCAA
rnacentral:sRNA from 1 species